CCUACGGGAGGCAGCAGUGAGGAAUAUUGGUCAAUGGACGAGAGUCUGAACCAGCCAAGUAGCGUGAAGGAUGACUGCCCUAUGGGUUGUAAACUUCUUUUAUAUGGGAAUAAAACAGGGUAUGCAUACCCUCUUGUAUGUACCAUAUGAAUAAGGAUCGGCUAACUCCGUGCCAGCAGCCGCGGUAAUACGGAGGAUCCGAGCGUUAUCCGGAUUUAUUGGGUUUAGAGGGAGCGUAGGUGGAUUGUUAAGUCAGUUGUGAAAGUUUGCGGAUCAACCGUAAAAUUGCAGUUGAAACUGGCAGUCGUGAGUACAGUAGAGGUGGGCGGAAUUCGUGGUGUAGCGGUGAAAUGCUUAGAUAUCACGAAGAACUCCGAUUGCGAAGGCAGCUCACUGGACUGCAACUGACACUGAUGCUCGAAAGUGUGGGUAUCAAACAGGAUUAGAUACCCGAGUAGUC
rnacentral:rRNA from 1 species